rnacentral:ncRNA from 1 species
GGUUCCCCAAGGGCGAAAAAGCCUGGGGAUCAAAAGGGAACACGGAGGGGUCGACCCAAGAGGGGACUUUCGACCGUGGCUGCCCCCGCAACUGUAAGCGGUAAGUUAAUGCGCCCACGAUGCCACUGGGAAACCGGGAAGGCGGGGCCAUACGAAGAGCCGCAAGCCAGGAGACCUGCCGUCACGU